CUUAGCCAAUGCUAGCCUGAUUUACCCUUGACCAUGUCUAUGUCCAGUCAUAAUGACCUUGACAUUAUAACCAUAGCACAAAUCAAUCAAAGAAGUAGCAGUCUGAUCUCUCCAAUAGCCACAACUGGACUUCUGUGCUUACUCUUUAUCAACAAACGGGAAGAAGGUGUCAUUUAAAGUCUAGACAGCUAAUGGCCGUCCAUAAAAACUGGAAAGGAAGUCACUCGGCGUUUGUCCUUUCUUUCUUUUGUGUGAAGCGAUUUUAAAGCCUUCUUAACUACUGUCUGUUUCUUCCUCUUAGGCCAUUUUCCCUCUAAAAUAAGUCGAUGUGCAACAUAUUCGUGUUAAAGUGAAAAGAGUGAAGGGAUGAUCUGCCAGGGUUGGAUGAUAACUUUGCUCUCACGAAUUAAAUCCUUCGGGGAGAGAAGGAUGUUAAUAAGCAUCUAUACUUAAAUUUGGCUUUACAUUGAGAACAUUCCAAACCGAAAACAUACAGUCUGUUACAUUUUUGUUUGAAUGAUGUGGAACUUGGCAGAUUCCUGAUCCUGAAAUUGUUGGACAGCUUUCUAAGGAAAUGCAACUAUCUGUGGGAACACUUUGAUUGCAGAGGAAAGCAAAAUUAACUAGAUUGCUCAAUCUUAAAGGGCAUCUGCACUGAAAAAUAGACUGAAAAAAGGAAGUCUUGUGUUUGUGUGUGUCAUAGGGAAUGUUUUGCAUUUAUAUUAGAAAAUGCGUAUUAAUGUAAGUAGGUAGGACUUAGCAGGUUUCCAGACACUUUGAAAAAUCAUAAACACUUCUUAUAAAUACAAGUUGCCGGACUGUAUUAAUUGUCCAUGUAUUGCAGUUAAUCUAAAUGCGAUCAGUGCAACCCUUACACUUAUUAUUUAGAUUUUCUAAUAUGCCCCUGAUAUUUCACAUAACCUGGCAAUUUUCAGAGGCUGAUUUAGAGUGUGGGGGUUGCAGAGUAACCAGUUUUGAGUGAGACAUUAUUACUCUUUGAAAACCCCAGGAAAAGAAAAACAAAAUGCCUCUGUAUCCCAGAAUGCAUCCACACAAUACACACUGAGCUGAACAUUUGCUGGGAAAUUUGCUUCUUAUAGUUGUCCCUCAGCCACCCUGUGCUAGGGCUGAAUAAUGCAAUGUUAUACUCUUAUGGCACAGAGAAUUGUAUGAAACAGCAACUUUGUGAGGUAUCUAAUUUAGUCUAAUGGCACACAUAAUCUAGCUAAAUCGUUGGUGCUGCUGAUAUUUCAGUUAUCAAAGCAUUUAGAAUUUUCUGAUCUGCAUUCUGAUUUGAAAAAAAAAAAAAUCUUGUUUAAUGCAAAAAAAA